rnacentral:rRNA from 1 species
UACGUAGGGUGCGAGCGUUAAUCGGAAUACUGGCGUAAGGCGUGACGCAGGCGGUGAUGUAAGACAGGUGUGAAAUCCCCGGGCUUAACCUGGGAACUGCAUUUGUGACUGCAUCGCUGGAGUGCGGCAGAGGGGGAUGGAAUUCCGCGUGUAGCAGUGAAAUGCGUAGAUAUGCGGAGGAACACCGAUGGCGAAGGCAAUCCC